rnacentral:rRNA from 1 species
GACGAACGGCUGGCGGCGUGCCUAACACAUGCAAGUCGAGCGGAGUCGAUCGACGGAAGCCUUCGGGCGGAAGAUGGUUGACUUAGCGGCGGAUGGGUGAGUAACGCGUGGGCAACCUGCCUCGAAGACCGGGAUAACAGCCCGAAAGGGCUGCUAAUACCGGAUGUGGUCAAGGAUCCGCAUGGAUUUUUGAUUAAAGGGGAAACCCGUUUCGAGAUGGGCCCGCGUCCUAUCAGCUAGUUGGUGAGGUAAAAAGCUCACCAAGGCGACGACGGGUAGCCGGCCUGAGAGGGUGACCGGCCACACUGGAACUGAGACACGGUCCAGACUCCUACGGGGGGCAGCAGUGGGGAAUCUUCCACAAUGGGCGAAAGCCUGAUGGAGCGACGCCGCGUGAGCGAAGAAGGCCUUCGGGUUGUAAAGCUCUGUCUGGAGGGACGAAGGAAGUGACGGUACCUCCGGAGGAAGCCACGGCUAACUACGUG